GAUGAACGCUGGCGGCGUGCCUAAUACAUGCAAGUCGAGCGAACAGACGAGGAGCUUGCUCCUCUGACGUUAGCGGCGGACGGGUGAGUAACACGUGGAUAACCUACCUAUAAGACUGGGAUCACUUCGGGAAACCGGCGCUAAUACCGGAUAACAUGUUGAACCGCAUGGUUCAACAGUGAAAGACGGUCUUGCUGUCACUAAUAGCUGGAUCCGCGCCGCAUUAGCUAGUUGGUAAGGUAACGGCUUACCAAGGCAACGAUGCGUAGCCGACCUGAGAGAGUGAUCGGCCACACUGGAACUGAGACACGGUCCAGACUCCUACGGGAGGCAGCAGUAGGGAAUCUUACGCAAUGGGCGAAAUCAUGACGGAGCAACGCCGCGUGAGUGAAGAAGGUCUUCGGAUCGUAAAACUCUGUUAUUAGGGAAGAACAGAUGUGUAAGUAACUAUGCACGUCUUGACGGUACCUAAUCAGAAAGCCACGGCUAACUACGUG
rnacentral:rRNA from 1 species